GGAAGUGAGUGGCUCAGGGAAGUUGUGUGGAGAGAGAAACAAUUAAUGGCGAGAGUCUGAUUUAACUCUUGUUCAGGACUGGAAGGCGCUUGAAAAUGCUGGGUUUUCGUGUUUUACACCGAGGGGGCAAGUAGGAGUGAGGGGAACAGAUGGUGAGAGUGCCCAGAGUCAAAGAAUGUCCUUUUUGUUGAAUAUUUUACCCCGCUCUUGAAUAUGUUUCCCGAUGUUUAUUUACAGCUGGACAUUUCACUCUGUUUCCCCGUAAAAGACACCGUAACUACAACCAAAAAAACUAACGUAAUAUUUUUUAAAAAUUAGCCAUACAACGACUGUGAGAAACAUUACAUCGGCCAAACUGGAAGAAAAUUGACAAUAAGGAGACACGAACAGCAAGUAGCCGCUAAGAGACACAACCAAUUCUCACUGUUUCAAUACACACGCAAGGACACAAAUUCAACUGGGGCAACACAUCCAUAAUAGCACAAUCCAAACAGAGACAUGCCAGGGGCUUCCGGGAGGCCUGGCAUGACAACUAAAACUCCACCAACAACGAUACUGAACUGCACCUGAUAUACAUACCACUGAAAAACAGAACCAGAAGCGAUGCCAACCACCCCAGUAUGUAUGGAAUGAGCUGCCAGAGGAAGGAGUGGAAGCUGGUACAAUUGGAACAUUAGAGCAUCUGGAUGGCAUUCUGGUAAAUUCUGGGACCACGCUUGUGACUGAGAGGUUGAAAAAGACAGCCAGAGCGACAGAUAUCGUGCAACAAUGAAGAAGCAGUAUUGACAGCUUUCAACAAUGAAGGAAUAUGCAGCGCACCUUGCUGCACGAAAUUACUUUACAUGUAUUCAAUCAUUUCGGGAUUUUAUAAACAGCACAAGAGGCUACAAUUUGCUCAAUUUUACACUGCAGCUAAUUUAUCAAAUAGUCUGGUAAACUUACGCACUGCUGCCCUUAGCUCUGCCCUGAACUUAGAUUGAGUAAGAGCGUACAUACAGGUGCUGGUGCUACAGUUCAGAACGCUGAGCAUCUUGCCGGUUUCAUUGACAAUAGCAAAUGGAUCAUUAAAGCUGCGAUAAGUAUAAGUUUCAGUGAUACGUGAGAACAGAAACAGUCCCACCGUGGGCAUCCACAGCAAUAUGAAACUUGCUGAGGCAGUACAAAGGAGGACUAAGGCUCUUCGCCGACUUUGCAUCUCAGGGUCCUGCGAUCCACCACCAUCUCCUCGGAAUCCUCGACGGACCUGGCUUGCAAUGAGUAUGUGUCUCACCAUCAGGAGAUUCAACAAAGCCACGGCAACAUAGGGAGCCAACGGUGUUAAAACCACGUGGACCCAGUAAAAGACUCUCCAUGCAGGAGCUGUGUCAAUGCUGGGAUUGGGUCUGCAGCCAAUCUGAACAUUAUUGUCCACUUGGAGCGGGAUAUUGCUGAAGUAAUAGGGUAUGUUUCUCACAUAACUGACAAAGUAAAUCACCCCGAUGACCAGAGCUGCGGAUUUUGGAGUACAGUAGCUUCUUCUGAGACUCUGGAAACAGAUCGAUAUGAAUCGGUCGAAAGUGAAAGAUACCGUUAACCAGACAGAACAAUCGAUCACUGCAGCCGUUGUAAUAGUGUUGAGGCGACAGGCUAAGGUAUAAUAAUAGAAUAGCUGUGGGAAGAGAUGGCUUAAAAUUUGAUUGACCAGGACGUAGAAAAGGAGGACCAGGAGAUCGCUUGUGGUCAUCGCUAUUAAGUAGAUUGUGCUGCUGUGGGCGAGGCCACAAUUCCUGAGUCGUAUUGUCAGUAGGGUGACAAUAUUGGCUGGAACAAAAAGAAUACAAUUAAUGCCAAAAAUAAAUGUCUGACAGAUUAAAUCUGAAUCAAUCAAUCUGAUUCAUUGCAAACUAUGAUAUUAGAAUCAGUUCAUUACAUAGUUCCCUCAAUAAUUAGGUAAUUUUUGGAAUCUCUCCAUUUCCCGCAGAUCUGCUCACACCUUCAGUAAUCCAUGAAAGCUUCCCUAAUUACAGUGACUUCAUCUGUAUCGUCUCCAUCUUCAAACACAGGCCUAAUCAUCUUGCCCCUCUCUGACAGUCACACAUCUUUUUCCUGUCCAUUUUCUGAAGAAUGGUCUCGACCCGAAGUGUCAGUUUCCUGCUCCUCUAAUGCUGCUUGGCCUGCUGUGUUCAUCCAGCUCUACCCUUUGCUAUCUCAGAUUCUCCAGCAUUGGCAGUUCCUACUAUUUCUAUCUCCUGUCCGAUCAGGUAACUCUGCAAAGCUCCCCUCCCACCGCCCCCACCCCCAAAUCAAAAGACAUGUAUUUGUUAAGAUAGUUUUUAUCUCAGCAUCUGGGAAUAAUUCCUUGAUUUGGUGCUGUUUAUCAGAUGCAUAAUUGUCCUCCCAAUUCAGAAAGGCUUCCCUGUUUUAAUAAAUUGUCUCGGUCACCUCUUGAUUCAUUCCAUACAUCAUUAAAAUUCAGUCAAAAAGAAACAAAUGUUGUGCAGGCCAUGGACCGUGACCGUAUUUUGGAGUUUUAAUCCUGCGUAAGAAGCUGCGGCUAAAGAGAAGUUUUUUUUUCCUCCCAGCCUAGAUAAAAAAUACAGGUGUCUACCUGAAAAUGUAGAAAAUACGCUAGUUUUCAUAUCCACAAAGCAUAUAUAAAAUCCAAGACAACCAGUUGCUACCCCAUGGGGCUCGCUCGGUUAUGAACACAAGCGUGCAAAGUGCCAUCAGGUAACCAUCAGAUACUGAACAAUAAAUUGUCCCGUGUGCUCAGUUAACUUACACCCAGGCCCAACGUGACAUCCACCUCAUUGGAACAUCGGCCUGAAUUUGUGCAACAGAUCUGGAAUUCAGUGGGGAAGUAAGGGUGGUUGAUCUUAAAAUCACAAAUUAUUUGAUACUGUGCAGCAUAAAGAAACACUCAUGAGUUUUCAGUCUCAGAAUGCAAUUAAAUCCAGAUAAACAUAAGGUACUGUACUUGUUCAGGACAACAAGGCAAUGGAAAUGAUGAUGAAGUUCAGGAUCUUGAUUCAAAGGGAAUUUGGUAUGCAUGUCCAUCUUUUCCUUAAUCUGUCAGCACAACUGAAAAUGUGGUUAGCAAGGUUUCUUGUCAGACUUCAUUAGCCAAGGCAUAAAGUUUCAACAGAAGUGUGGCUAUACUGAAUCUGUAUGAAACGUUGGUCAGGGCACAGCUGCAGUGUUGUAUGUAGUUUUCGAAUCAAAAUGACGGAAGCAAUAUGUUAUCGGUGUAGAUGUGUUGCCUGGGCUUCAGCAUUGGAGUUACUGCGUUCCUUUGAGCAGAGGAGAGUGAGUGGGGACGUGAUUGAGAUCGAAAACAAAUUGAGGAGCGUAGUUAGGGUAGUUAGGAAGAAAUGUUUCCACAUGAUGGAGUGAUCAAGGAUCAGUGGACAUGAAUUUAUGAUUGGGGUAGAGUGUUUGGAGUAGAAAAGGUGAAAAAUAAGAAUCUAUCAGACGAUGCAAAAUAUGAUAUCAGAAUAGAAAGGUUGUUUCUUUUCAUGGCUAAGACGUGAUAGACCAGAGGUCUUUCGCUCUGUUGUACCUGACUUUGAUGCUAUGAAUCUAAUAAUGUUUAUUUUUAAGAAAAACAUUGCCUAGUGCAUGGGUUUGUAAAUAAUUAAAAGUAAUGAUUUUGUAGAUUCAUAGAAUUAUACAGCCCAGAAACAAACCCUUCAGUCAACUUGUUUACGCCGACCAGAUAUCAUAAACUCACCUGUUCCCGUGUUCCAGCAUUUGGCCCAUAUUUCUCUAAACACUUCCUAUUCAUAUAAACACUCAGAUGAUUUUUAACUGCUGUGACUGUAUGGCCUUGGGCACCUCCUCAGGCAGGUUGUUCCAUACGCAUAUCACCAUCCGCAGGAACUGAUUGUAACCCAGGUCCCUUUUAAAUCUUUCCCCUCUCACCUACAUCCAUGCCCUCCAGAGACCUUGGCUUUUCGCCCUAUAUGCCCAAUCAUCAUAUUAUAGACCUUCGAAUGGUCACCCCUCAGAAUAUGAUGUAGCAGAUUCAAAAGCCCCAGCCUAUUCACCAUUUCUCUCUUGCUUCAAACCUGCAAUCCCCACAACAAUCUUGUAAAUCUUUUAUGAACCCUUUCAAAUUUAGUGUCAUCUUUAACAGGGAGAUGAGAAUUAAACUUAGUAUUCUUCACCCAGAGAGUUGUGAGCGAAUGGAAUAGUUUACCAGUGGUAGUCGUGGAAACGGAGUCAUUAGUGACAUUUAAGCGACUGCUGGACAUGCAAAUGGACAGCAGUGAAUUGAGGGGAAUGUAGGUUAGGUUAUUUUAUUUUUGGAUUUGGAAUAUUCCACGGCACAACAUCAUGGCCGAAGGGCCUGUACUGUGCUGUACUUUUCUAUGUUCUAUGUUCUAUUCUGAAAGUGGCCUUACCAAUGUCCUGAGCAACCACAACAUGAUGUCCCAACUUGUUUACUCAGUGUAGUGACCAAUGAAGAUAAAUAUACCUUGCUCACCACUUGCCUAGAUGCAGUUGCACUUUCAUGGAACAAUGAAUCAGUACCCUUAGAACUCUUUGUUCAAACACAGUCGCUCGGGCUGUAACAUUAAGUGUAUAAGUCCAAACCUGGUUUGCCUUACCAAAAUGCAACACGUUACAUUUAUCUAAAUUAAACACCAUCUGCCACUCCUCACCCCAUUGGCCCAUUUGAUCAAGGUCUGGUUGUACUCUGAGGUAACCUUUUUUCAUUUUCCACUACACCACCAAUUUUGGUGCCAUCUGCAAACUUACAAACCAGACCUCCCAAAUCCACGUCCAAAUUGCUGAUAUGAAUGGAAAAGUUGACCCGGCACAGAUCCUUGUGGAACACAUCCAGUCGCACAUCCAAGCUGAUAAACAAUCCCCGACCACCACCCUCUGUCUUCCAUCUUCAAUUGGCUAGCUCUCCCUGGAUUCAACUUGAUCGAACCUUCCGAACAAGUCACGGUGGCUCAGUGGUUAGCACUGCAGCCUCACAGCGCCAGAGACCAAGGUUCGAUUCCAGCCUCGGGUAACUGUCUGUGCGGAGUUUGCACAUUCUCCCCGUAUCUGCAUGGGUUUCCUCCGGGUGCUCGAGUUUCUUCCCAC